UGGCUUCGGCAGCCCAUAUUACUAAAACUGAAACGAUACAAAGAAGAUUAGCGUGGUCCCUGGGCAAGGAUGACAUGCAAAUUCGUGAAAUGUUCCAUAUUUUA